rnacentral:rRNA from 1 species
GAUGAACGCUGGCGGCGUGCCUAAUACAUGCAAGUCGAGCGAACGGACGAGAAGCUUGCUUCUCUGAUGUUAGCGGCGGACGGGUGAGUAACACGUGAUAACCUACCUAUAAGACUGGGAUAACUUCGGGAAACCGGAGCUAAUACCGGAUAAUAUUUUUAACCGCCUGGUUCAAAAGUGAAAGACGGUCUUGCUGUCACUUAUAGAUGGAUCCGCGCUGCAUUAGCUAGUUGGUAAGGUAACGGCUUACCAAGGCAACGAUGCAUAGCCGACCUGAGAGGGUGAUCGGCCACAUGGGAACUGAGACACGGUCCAGACUCCUACGGGAGGCAGCAGUAGGGAAUCUUCCGCAAUGGGCGAAAGCCUGACGGAGCAACGCCGCGUGAGUGAUGAAGGUCUUCGGAUCGUAAAACUCUGUUAUUAGGGAAGAACAUAUGUGUAAGUAACUGCGCACAUCUUGACGGUACCUAAUCAGAAAGCCACGGCUAACUACGUG